rnacentral:rRNA from 1 species
AGUGAACGCUGGCGGCAGGCCUAAUACAUGCAAGUCGAGCGAACAGACGAUGAGCGUUCGCCUUUAACGUUAGCGGCUGACGGGUGAGUAACACGUAGGUAACCUUCCUAUAUUACUUGGAGGACUUCGGGAAACCGGAUAUAAUACCGGAUAAUAUUUCCAACCGCAUGAUUCGAUAGUGAAAGAUGCCUUUGCUAUCUCUUUUAGAUGGACCUGCGCCGUAUUAGCUAGUUGGUAAGGUAACGGCUUACCAAGGCAACGAUCCGUAGCCGACCUGAGAGGGUGAUCGGCCACACUGGAACUGAGACACGGUCCAGACUCCUACGGGAGGCAGCAGUAGGGAAUAUUGCGCAAUGGGCGCAAGCCUGAUGGAGCAAUACCGCGUGAGUGAUGAAGGUCUUCGGAUCGUAAAACCCUGUUAUUAGGGAAGAACAACAGCGUAAGUAACUGUGGAUGUCUUGACGGUACCCAAUGAGAAAGCACCGGCUAACUUCGUG